rfam:Felis catus isolate Cinnamon breed Abyssinian chromosome E3, whole genome shotgun sequence.
GCCUGAGUGGCUCAGUCGGUUGAGCGUCUGAUUUCGGCUCAGGUCAUGGUCUCAAGGUCUGUGAGUUCAAGCCCCACGUCGGGCU